CAGGAUGAACGCUAGCGACAGGCCUAACACAUGCAAGCAGGGGCAGCACAAGGAGCAAUCUGAGGUGGCGACCGGCGCACGGGUGAGUAACACGUAUGCAACCUGCCUGUAAGCGGGGAAUAACCCGUUGAAAGACGGACUAAUACCGCAUAAGUACUAAAUUACUGCAUGGUAAUUAUUUAAACAUUUAUGGCUUACAGAUGGGCAUGCGCAUGAUUAGCUAGUUGGAGAGGUAACGGCUCCCCAAGGCAACGAUCAUUAGGGGUUCUGAGAGGAAGGUCCCCACACUGGUACUGAGACACGGACCAGACUCCUACGGGAGGCAGCAGUGAGGAAUAUUGGUCAAUGGACGAGAGUCUGAACCAGCCAAGUCGCGUGCAGGAAGAAUGUCCUUAAUGGAUUGUAAACUGCUUUUGCAGGGGAAUAAAGUGCAUCACGUGUGAUGUUUUGUAUGUACUCUGCGAAUAAGGAUCGGCUAACUCCGUGCCAGCCGCUGC
rnacentral:rRNA from 1 species